rnacentral:lncRNA from 1 species
CGACUGUAAAUGUCUUUCCUUGCAAGUUCUUGUCGUGCCACAUCUUGGUGCGAUCCUUAUACCACAUCGCGGCGUCAUAAGCUUCAAGACGAAGCUCCUCCACACACUUAUCUUUUAAGUCGGGUGGUUCCACAUCAAAAUGCAGACUUCUGUCGCGUGGCUUCCGUUUGGGCAAACAGUCCGUAUGUCCAGAACCUGCGAGUUUCGGGUCAACAUGAAGAAAUUUGUCCUGCACAGAUUUAGUCUCAAGAUGUUCUUGGACAAAAGGGUCAGUAACAUUAGUGGCACAAACAGUUUUAACAGCAUGGGGACUUUUCAUGGUAUCAUCAAUGUUGAAAGUAAACUUUUCUCCAUGAUAAUCCAAACAAAUAGUACCACUAUAAACAUCAAUGACUGCCCUAGUGGUCCUUAAGAAAGGACGACCUAACAGAACACCAGCUGACUCCUUCGACUGCAUACCACUCAUUUUCACCACAUAGAAAUCAGCAGGAUAAACAAAAUUAUUCACUUUCACAAGGACAUUUUCAAGCAAACCUUCAGGGUGCACACAUGAUCCAUCGGCUAACUGAAUCACAACUUUAGUAUCUACCAACUUCACACCAUUUAAACUAUUAUAAACAGCUAAAGGCAUGACAUUAAUAGAAGCUCCUAGAUCACACAUAGCAUGCUCAAUCUUAGUAUCACCGAUGUAACAUGGCAGAGAAAACAUACCUGGAUCCUUGCAUUUGGGCGGCAACUCUUUUCGUAUCACUGCUGACACGUUCUCGCCCAUCACAAUCUUUCCAGAUUUCUUAGACUUUCCAUCGAUGAAGUCCUUCAAAAACUUGCUCAGAUGAGGGAGUUUGAGUGCUUGGAGGAAAGGAAGAUUAAUCUCCAACUUUCCAAAUAUCUUCAUGAAAUCCAUUAGCUCUUCCUUCGGCUUCUUCUUUGCUAACCUCCUAGGAAAGGGAACAGGUAUCUCGAUCUCGGGAUCAUGUAGACUCAAAGGUUUAUGAACCUUAGACUGCUCACCCUCAACCAAUUUGUGUUCUGCCUCUUUUCCUUUCUGCACAGCUGCCAGGUCACCGUUCUGUUUGGCCAAACCGGACUGAUCUGCAUUCUGGAUUGCAGAAUCCACCUUGCCUCCAGAAUUUUUGAAUUUUUGCAAUUGAGAUUCGACUCCAGAGUCCUUACUCGGACAUCCACUUGAAUUCUGGGUUGUGGGCUCACUCAACUCCUUGCUACUCCUCAAAGUAAUCAUACUAACGUUCUCCCUCGGAUUCAAUUGGACUUGAGAUGGUAACUUGCCUUGAUGGCCCUUGAGUUGAUUCACGGACGUUGCAAGCUGAGACACUUGACGAGCCAACCCUUCGAUCUGAACCCUUUGCUCUGCUUGAGACUGUUGGAGUUUUAGCACCGCUUCAUUGGUUGUUUGCAAAUUAUUUUGCAACAAUUGUUGUGAGCCAAUCAACUCUCUCAUCAUCUCUUCAAGAGCUUUUCCUUGAUUUUCUUGUGGAGGUGGUGGUGCUUUUGGAAUCCUCUUUGAUGAGGCGGUCUAUAGCUUUGCUGCUGCUGCUGCACUUGAUUGCUUUGGUCUCUCCAACGAAAAUUAGGGUGAUCUCUCCACGGCGCAUUGUAGUUGCUCGAGUAGGGGUCCUGUUUGGGCAAAAGGGGCAGUGGAUCAGAACAACUGUAAAAGUUGUGAGACGAAUUCACUUGGGCUUGAAGAUCUUCGUCGCCCCCAGCGCAUUGCAAACUUGUAUGGCCAAAGUUACCACACGUUCCACAUGGUUUUUCUGUCGGUUGUCCAACAAUUGCCACCUUCUCCACCACAGUACUUAAUAUUCUUUCCAUCCUCCCCAUUCUUUCUUCGAACUUGUCCUCAAAGUUAGAGGAACUUGCCUGUGCAACUUUCUUGAGCAAUUGAAUACGUGGCUCCUCAUACUCUCUCGUUGCUUCCACCAAGUGUUGAAUCAACUUCUUAGCUUCGCUCACAGUAUUUUGAGAAAAUGCUCCUCCACUUGAUGAAUUCACCAGAUUUUUGGUAUCUACCGUCAUCCCUUGAUAGAAAUACUGCAGCAAAUCCCCCUCUGAAAACUUAUGGUUUGGACAGCUAUCCACCAACCUCCUGAAUCGAGUCUAGUAUGUGCUCAAUGACUCAUCGUACUCCUGCUUCACUCCACUAAUUUCCUUCUUUAGCGCAUUCGUCUUGGUGGGAGGGAAAAAAUGCUCCAGGAAUAGCUUUUUCAUCUCGACCCAUGAAGUGAUAGAAUAGGGUGGAAGACUCGCGAACCAAGAGUUCGCCUCUGCUGUCAUGGUGAAGGGAAAGGCAGCUAGUCUGAAGUGUUCCUCCGUAACUCCAGUGGGGCGUUUCUGGACUUUGCAAAUUUUGAUGAAUUCGCUCAAGAAAUUGUAUGGAUCUUCUCCCUUCUUGCCAUAGUACUUCGGGAGAACAUUAAGCAGUCCAAGCUUAAUCUUAAUACCGGUAGCAGCUGCCGGUAUCCGGAUUGGAGUUGGGGGGUCAUCAGCUUCGUGGCUAGAGAGAUCACACAGUCUAGGAUCGUCAACCAUGUCGCUCUCAGUACUUGCGAUAGAAAUCGAGUCGAUUUCUUCUUCACAGUCUGUGUCUGCAUCUGAAUCAGGGUCUGUUUGGGCAAACGGAUCCUCUGCAGCAAUCUGAACUUCUGGUUCAGACUUGAAAAACGUUUCUGUCCGGUCAGACGGAGCAAUUUCCGAGCCUUCCAGACCUUGCAGCUUCCUCGCCGUGGCCUCCUUCCUCAAUCUCUUCGCGGUUUUCUCGAUCUCAAAAUCGUAGAGGAGAUUCGGCUUAGAAGAUCUNAAGUCCUUCAAAAACUUGCUCAGAUGAGGGAGUUUG